rnacentral:rRNA from 1 species
GAUGAACGCUAGCGGCAGGCUUAAUACAUGCAAGUCGAGGGGCAGCACAGAUAGCAAUAUUGGGUGGCGACCGGCAAACGGGUGCGGAACACGUACACAACCUUCCUUUUGGUGGGGGAUAGCCUUUGGAAACGGAGAUUAAUACUCCAUAAGAUAUUGGAAUCGCAUGGUUUUGAUAUUAAAGAUUUAUUGCCAGAAGAUGGGUGUGCGUAUGAUUAGGUAGUUGGUGAGGUAAAGGCUCACCAAGCCGACGAUCAUUAACUGGUGUGAGAGCACGACCAGUCACACGGGCACUGAGACACGGGCCCGACUCCUACGGGAGGCAGCAGUAAGGAAUAUUGGUCAAUGGACGGAAGUCUGAACCAGCCAUGCCGCGUGGAGGAUGAAGGUCCUCUGGAUUGUAAACUUCUUUUAUAUGGGGCGAAAAAGGGCCAUUCUUGGUCAACUGACGGUACCAUAUGAAUAAGCACCGGCUAACUCCGUGCCAGCAGCCGCGGUAAGAC